rnacentral:lncRNA from 1 species
UUGCUUCUCUGGCUGUUUCACGGUUGGGAUGGUGGCGUGGCGUUGGGGCUGUCUUGCGGGUUGGCCGGAGAGGGAGCACACCGAGUGGGCUUCUAAGAUGGCUGAGGUGAUUAUUUGCUCCCUUGUUUGUCUUUCCCUUUGUGAUGUGUAUGUGCUCAUCAAGGGCUUUGUUGUUUUUUAGGGAUUUGUCUAGGGUUUCCUGGUUAAUCCAUUCUGAUUUUGGUCUGCUCAUGCUCUUGGCUUCCGGACCGUGGUGCUCAAGGUGGUCUGGCUGUCGCCGCCGCCCCUGCUUGACGAUGCUGCACCCCUGCUCGAUCACUUUAUAAAAAUAGCGUAUGCAGAAGUGAAAACGAGUCAAACAGAUGAUCAGUGCCUCAGUCCUUCAGUACUUGAGGUAUGUGUUGAC